GUAGCUGGUCUGAGAGGAUGGCCAGCCACACUGGAACUGAGACACGGUCCAGACUCCUACGGGAGGCAGCAGUGGGGAAUAUUGGACAAUGGGGGCAACCCUGAUCCAGCAAUGCCGCGUGUGUGAAGAAGGCCUGAGGGUUGUAAAGCACUUUCAGUGGGGAGGAGGGAUGAUUGGUUAAGAGCUGAUUAUUUGGACGUUACCCACAGAAGAAGCACCGGCUAACUCCGUGCCAGCAGCCGCGGUAAUACGGAGGGUGCGAGCGUUAAUCGGAAUAACUGGGCGUAAAGGGUGCGUAGGUGGUAGAUUAAGUUAUGUGUAAAAUCCCUGGGCUUAACCUGGGCAGGUCAUAUAAUACUGGUUUACUCGAGUAUGG
rnacentral:rRNA from 1 species